CGGGUAGACGAAUUGGCCCCGAUUUAAGUCCAGUUCUAAAGUAAAUAAGGAAUUAAAAUG
rnacentral:sRNA from 1 species